AAAUUAUAUACCAAGAGAAUUAGUAUCAGAAGAAGAAAUAACCUCUAAAGAACGAGUAUGCCCAGAAUUACCAAAAGAAUUAUCAUAUAUAGAAGAAGCAACUCAAAAAGAAGUAGUCAUAGGAGGUAUAAUAAUAUUAAUAGAUUUUAAGAUAUACCAAGAAGAUAAUAUAAUAUUAGGAAUAAAAUGGUUAGAAGAAAUGA
rnacentral:lncRNA from 1 species